rfam:Fusarium oxysporum f. sp. cubense tropical race 4 54006 unplaced genomic scaffold supercont1.7, whole genome shotgun sequence.
GGCCGCGUGGCCUAAUGGCUAAGGCGCUAGAUUUCGGUCUCCAGCUUCCGAACUCUCUAGAGAUUCCAGGUUCGAAUCCUGGCGUGGUCG